GCUUCUUUUUCCACCGGAGCUUGCUCCACCGGAAAAAGAGGAGUGGCGAACGGGUGAGUAACACGUGGGUAACCUGCCCAUCAGAAGGGGAUAACACUUGGAAACAGGUGCUAAUACCGUAUAACAAUCGAAACCGCAUGGUUUUGAUUUGAAAGGCGCUUUCGGGUGUCGCUGAUGGAUGGACCCGCGGUGCAUUAGCUAGUUGGUGAGGUAACGGCUCACCAAGGCCACGAUGCAUAGCCGACCUGAGAGGGUGAUCGGCCACAUUGGGACUGAGACACGGCCCAAACUCCUACGGGAGGCAGCAGUAGGGAAUCUUCGGCAAUGGACGAAAGUCUGACCGAGCAACGCCGCGUGAGUGAAGAAGGUUUUCGGAUCGUAAAACUCUGUUGUUAGAGAAGAACAAGGAUGAGAGUAACUGUUCAUCCCUUGACGGUAUCUAACCAGAAAGCCACGGCUAACUACGUGCCAGCAGCCGCG
rnacentral:rRNA from 1 species